ACCAACGUCCAAACCUCACAUGAGACAGA
rnacentral:sRNA from 1 species